GGGAGAAAAAGAAAAUGGAAACGUUCAGGCAGGCCAGGCAAUAAGUCAAUGUCAACAGCUGUAAGAAAAUAGCCAAAACUAGCCAAUGGUUGAUUGAGAUGUUGUAUUUGUUUAGAAUGAUUAGUUUAGUUAUAGGAUGAGUUCAAUAAUUAAUUUACUAGAAUAAUUUUUUUAGUUAUAGUAAGAAUCUAAAGCUCAAUUAAUUGAUUUGGAGACAAACUUUCAUCCGUAUCAGUAUUUUCAACUUUGUUACUCGCAUCUCCUUAAGAAAAUUAAUCUAACGUUAAAAUUUAGUGUUUUUCAAGUCGAAUAGAUAUUCACUUUCAAACUCACUCUCUUAACUCACAAAUGAUGCCGGUUAAAUUUUUUCGAUUUGUAACUGAAUUUAAUACUAAUUAAAAACCCUCUAUAUAUUGACAGAGUAUAUACAGACAAAGGAGAGGAAGUAGAGGAAAAACUAAAGAGAGGAGCAUUUAUAUUUUAUAUAUAUAGUAGAUGGAUGGGAGACUAUAUUCACGAGGGGCAUCCAUCCAUUUUCCGCAAAAUCAAAAGCAUGCAUGGUUCUUGUGUGUGUUGUGUUGUGUUGCAUAACCCAACCUAUAGGGCAUCUUCCUUCCACCCCUAACCCCCCACCCUCACCAAACAAACACAAAGAGAAAGCCCCACUUCCACCCUACAUUUCUUAUAUACCUUAAAAUACUUCCUCAAAUAGACCAUAACCUUUGUUCAUUUUUUUGCUCUUUAAUUAAUUUCCAGAUGAAUCCAUUUCGGUGGAAAGUUGAGAAUCCAUAAACUUUAAAUUCUGAUUCUCUCUCAGUAUUUGUAUGUUGGUUUUGAGAGGUUGAAGCUGCCAGCAUGAUCUGGUAAGAGCAAAAUCCAUUUUUCCGUAUAUUUUCUUGCAAAAAAAGAAAGGAAAGCCCAUAUUUUUUCUUAAAAUCUUGACGCCUUUCCCUCUUUUGGGUUUGAAGUUACUUAGAUUUGAAAAAAAGAAAAUGAAAUUUUGGAAGGUUUUCUUUAAAGAGAAUAUAUAUAUAUAUAUAUAUAUAUAUAUAUAGCUAGCUUUCCAAAGGUUUGGUUCCAUCAGGUCAUCUAGCAGCUUCAAUCACUCACCAACAAUACAAACAAAGGAAAAGGCUUCUAAUUUUGACCUUGACUUCUCAAUGACAUUGAUUUAUCUCAGUGAAUUUUUACAUAUAAAUUUAUGUUGCAAAAUACCGAAUUCAGAUGAACUCGGUACCUGAACGUUGCAUCCGCCACAAUGAAUGAUGAUGGUUUCUGAUGAGUGAUGACAUUUGAGUUUUGAACUCCAGGCAUGUAAAAUUUCCAAAUAUAUAAGGCAACAAUUAAUAAUUUAUCCCAUUAAUCGGACCGAAAUUUCUGCGCAGAUUUAUAAGUACUUGCUAGGGGAUCUAUUGUUCUGUUUUUGUGGAAUUUUAAUCCUUUAAUUUGAGUGUACUUUGUGUGCGUGUGGGUGUGUGAUUGUUUGUUUGUUUGUCUGUGUGGUUUUCUAUGCAGAUAUACAAUAUCAAGAUUGAGCCAAGUAAAUCAAAUUCACAAGACACGAGAAAGACAUGAUUGUUAAUUAAUUUACAAGCUUGUAUUUUCAUCUUAUGGUAUUCAAUUACAUGAUGACAACUGUACUUUUGUUAUGUGGAAAUUAUAAGUAUUACCUAAUUAAUGACUUCACAAAAGUUUAAUGGGUGAUGUACCAUUUCUUAACUAUUACAAA